rnacentral:rRNA from 1 species
GAUGAACGCUGGCGGCGUGCCUAAUACAUGCAAGUCGAGCGAACAGACGAGGAGCUUGCUCCUCUGACGUUAGCGGCGGACGGGUGAGUAACACGUGGAUAACCUACCUAUAAGACUGGGAUAACUUCGGGAAACCGGAGCUAAUACCGGAUAAUAUAUUGAACCGCAUGAUUCAAUAGUGAAAGACGGUUUUGCUGUCACUUAUGGAUGGAUCCGCGCCGCAUUAGCUAGUUGGUAAGGUAACGGCUUACCAAGGCAACGAUGCGUAGCCGACCUGAGAGGGUGAUCGGCCACACUGGAACUGAGACACGGUCCAGACUCCUACGGGAGGCAGCAGUAGGGAAUCUUCCGCAAUGGGCGAAAGCCUGACGGAGCAACGCCGCGUGAGUGAUGAAGGUCUUCGGAUCGUAAAACUCUGUUAUUAGGGAAGAACAAAUGUGUAAGUAACUAUGCACGUCUUGACGGUACCUAAUCAGAAAGCCACGGCUAACUACGUG